CUAUAGAACACUAACUGAAACUCUAGAACUAAAACUAUAGAUCACUAAAGAAAGAAAUUGAAGAAGGCCUUAGAAGAUGGAAACAUCUCCCUGUUCUUGGAUAGGCAGAAUUAAUACUGUCAAAAUGACCAUACUACCAAAAUACAGAUUGAAUGCAAUUUCCAUCAAAAUUCCAAUGACAUUCUUUGUAGAAAUAGAAAAAGCAGUCAUAAAGUUUAUUUGGAAAAAUAAGAGGCCCAGAAUAACCAAAGCAAUCCUCAGCGAGAAAAGUGAAGCAGUGGGCAUCACAAUACUAGACCUUAAAUUAUACUACAGAGCUAUAGUAAUAAAAAAAUAGCACGGUGUUGGCACCAACACAGGUAUGAAGACCAAUGGAAUAGACUAGAGGACACAGAGACACACCCAUAUAAAUACAGUUAUUUCAUUAAUUGACAAAGGUGCGAAAACCUUCUAUUGGAGAAAAGGUAUCCUCUUUAACAAAUGGUGCUGGUAAAACUGGAAAUCCAUAUAUAGUAGAAUAUAAUAUAACCCCAAUCUCUCACCCUGCACAAAACUCAAAGUGGAUCAAAGACCUAGGAAUUAGACCAGAAACCCUUCAACUUCUAGAACUAGAAAAUGUAGUCCCAGCACUUCAACAUAUCAUUUCAGGAAGUGACUUUCUUAACAAGACUCCUGAAGUGCAAGAAGUAAAAUAAAAAAUCAAUAAUCGAUGGCAUUAAAUAAAAAGCUUGUGCAUAGCAAAGGAAACAACCAAGAGUAUGAAGACAGAGCCUACAGAAUAAAGAAAAUCUUUGCCACCUGCUCCUGAGAUAGGAUGUUAAUAUCCAGGAUAUAUGAAGAACGGACACACACACACACAUACACACACACACACAAACAAACAAAAGAAAAAACAAA
rnacentral:lncRNA from 1 species